ACCACGAAUGAGUUCAAGAGAACAUCAAAACAUGAAUAAUAAAACGGAACAAAAUUGCAGAAUAAUUUGUAGACAACUUACAAAAUAGAUGAUUAGAAAACACAGUUCACAAGAGCCCGAACAAAAUUCAAAUUGGAAUACCCUCAAUACUUUCCACAACUCACUAAAAUUGGCUAUUUCGACAAAUCAUCCAAGUCAUUAGAAAUUUCAAUCUCAAGUUCUAGAGGAUUGCUUUUCCUUUGCCUUCUGAAUCUUCAAGACCUUUUUCACAAUCUU
rnacentral:misc_RNA from 1 species